rnacentral:lncRNA from 1 species
GGAGGAGAAAGGUGGGAGGCUGGGGGGAAGGGGAGGGAAGAGGGGCCCUCCAGGGAUCUGUGUAUUCUAUUUCUCCAUCUCAGUGGUGGUUGCCUGGAUUGUCCACUCUGACUAUUCAUUGAGCCUAUACUAAUUAUUUGUGUACUUUUGAGCAUAUGUAUUAUUUUCUUAAACAAAGCAGUAACAAAUAUAAAGUCUGAUCCCAGGCCAGAAUCACUGGAUCAGUCUCUGGGGAGUGGGGAGGGUCCAGCAUGGGAGGUUUCGUGGUGUCUGGGGUGUGGCUCUGAUGUAUGUCAGGGUCACCACCUGCCCUGGCCUAUGCACAGCCCUCCCUUCUUCCCACUCUCGCUCCCCACCUGCCUAUCUCCUUGACCUUUCUGUUCCUUGAACUUGCCAGGUGCUUUCCCGCCCCAGUCUUUUGCACCUGCUGUUCUUUGGGCUCUGAGUGCUCUUUCCUAGCUGGAUCCAAGUCACCCCCUUAAAGCAACCUUCCCUGCCCUAUCUAUCCACAACAGGCCGCUUGACCCAGAUACCCUCUGGUACAUCAUCCUGUUUAUUUCAUUUAUUAUUCUAGAGACAAUGCCUGUGUUCACCAAAUUCUAUUUCUUUUUCCGGGAAGAUUUAAAGGAGGACUCUAUUUUCCAGUCUCCCUUGCAGUGAGGUCAGGGUUAGGGGGUUGUAGACGGAAGCAAUGCCUUCCACUUCCAGAUGUUGUCACGGGCCCCCGCGUGGUCCACACUCCCUGUUCCUGUGCGGUGACCAAGGCGGCCACUCACGUCAGUAGGAAGGGCUCAGGGAUGUGAGGAGCCUGGGUCUUGGUGUGACCACUAGGAGGAGCAUUGCCAAGAAGAGCUGCCCGGACCACACUCGACUGUGAUAUAAACAAGAAACAAACCUUUCCGCAAACCUAUGAGAUGUGAGUGUGUUUUCUACUGCAGCAGAACCUACACUAUCCCAGUGCAGGAAGCGCUCAUUGCAAAUGGAGGUUAUCUUGUUGAUUUUUGGUUAAACUUCUCAUGUCACGUUUUCUGACAACACCUUCCAUUGUACCAUCUGUUUCUGAACAAUACCUGGGACAUUGCAAACUUGUUCUGCAAGAAUACCCUGGGUCUCAGUGUGUGUGACAAGGGAUGGAAGAAUUCACCAGUAAAACCACCUGGACCUGAAAUUUUUUCAUGGGAAAGUUUUUGAUGAUGUAUUCAAUCUCUACUCAAAUGUUCUAUUUCAUCUUGUGUCAAUUUUGAGUUUUGCUCUUGUUGCCCAAGCUGGAGUUCAAUGGUGUGAUCUCGGCUCACUGCAACCUCCACCUCCUGGGUUCAAGUGAUUCUCCUGCCUCAUCCUCCUGAGUAGCUGGGAUUACAGUAGAUACGUGGUCUUGCUAUGUUGCCCAGGCUGGUCUCAGACUCCUGGGCUCAAAGGAUCUGCCUGCCUCAGCCUCCGGAAGUGCUGGGAUUACAGGUGUGAGCCACUGUACUCCGCCACAGGAGCGUGUGGCCGGGGACUCGUGCAUGCCAGGGAAGAGCACUGGCUUCCGGAUCCUCUGACUUCACCAUGUGACUUGGCCAGCAAUGACCCUGGGUUAGAGAUAGGUGGAGCGGAGGCAGGCAGUGGUCAGAGACCCCAGACAUGGGGUCCUGGCACCACAACUGUGAUUUUCCAUCACUUUAGAGGCACCAACAGGGGUCCCUCUGGAAACGUGGAGCAGAAUCAUCCAGGAUCCCGAAGAGGACUUUGUCCUCCUGCCCAUUUCCAGUUCCUCUCCCAUCUCCUCUGGUUUCCAGAAGCAGCACAUCCCCGGCCCCACCCCUCAUCUGUAUACGGAUCCUCCUAAUGCAGACCCAGGUGAUGGAAAACCCGUCUACAACGAACCAAGGCUGUUCGUGCUUUCAAAUAUUAAAUUCUGUUCAGAAUAUUAAAUAAUUUCAUCUUCAGUGAUCCCAGUAAAUUUAAUUAGCUCUUGUUCUCCCAAUAGAGUUGUCUCUUGGUUGCUGAAAUGUUGCAUUCUCAAGGAAGGAGGCCCACAUUCCUGCAGCGCGGAGGGCUCGC